rnacentral:ribozyme from 16 species
UCUAAAGAACACAAAAAAAAAGCCAAAAAGAUUGGUUUUCUUUUCUGUUUGAAUUUUGUGCAGUAAUAAAUGUGACUUGUUGAGACAGAA